rnacentral:rRNA from 1 species
AUUGAACGCUGGCGGAAUGCUUUACACAUGCAAGUCGAACGGCAGCACGGGGGCAACCCUGGUGGCGAGUGGCGAUCGGGUGAGUAAUAUAUCGGAACGUGCCCAGUCGUGGGGGAUAACGUAGCGAAAGCUACGCUAAUACCGCAUACGAUCUACGAAUGAAAGCGGGGGAUCGCAAGACCUCGCGCGAUUGGAGCGGCCGAUAUCAGAUUAGGUUGUUGGUGAGGUAAAAGCUCACCAAGCCUGCGAUCUGUAGCUGGUCUGAGAGGACGACCAGCCACACUGGAACUGAGACACGGUCCAGACUCCUACGGGAGGCAGCAGUGGGGAAUUUUGGACAAUGGACGCAAGUCUGAUCCAGCAAUGCCGCGUGCAGGACGAAGGCCUUCGGGUUGUAAACUGCUUUUGUACGGAACGAAACGGUGAGCUCUAAUACAGUUUGCUAAUGACGGUACCGUAAGAAUAAGCACCGGCUAACUACGUGCCAGCAGCCGCGGUAA